rnacentral:precursor_RNA from 9 species
AAAUGAGGGAUAGAGAGACGCAAGUAUAUUUGGGAUUUCGUGGGACAUUCUGUGAGAUAGAAAUGACAAUGCCCUGCGAAAUCCUAAACGUGCAUGUACGACACUCCUUUCACACGCA